UCCUGACUAAUCUACUUCUCUCCUCACCCCCGCCGCCGCCUGGCUCUAAACUGCGUAGCCUUAUGCGCCGCCGGCUGCCCCUCCGAUGAUAAGCCUCGAUCUGUACCGUGCACGCCGGCCGUCUGGCUGGCCGGCCGUGUCGCCGUUCCUAAGGGAAAAACAAGCGCGCCACUUAUCAAGCCCUAGGAAAGUUAAUGGAGAGAUUCUUUACAAAAUCCACAACUGGCAUUGAAAUAAUCGAUCUGAAUUAACAAGCUUACUCGCUUGAAGGCUAAAAUCAAGGAUGUACCAAGAAAAGGAACAACAUAUUCAUAUUUCUCAAGUUAUUCUUCCUUAAGUGGAGUACCAUUGUGCGUGCUCAUGAACCCUUUGUUGCAUAUUCCCUCGGCUUGACACAUGAUACAUGUUCGACCAUGUCUGUAUGGAUGGCAUGGUAUUGAGCAUAACUCGGCCGGAUAACCAGAUGCAAAUGAUACAUGUUCGACCAUGUCCGUAUGGAUGGCAUGGUGUUGAGCACAACUCGGAUGGAUAACCAGAUGCAGUGCCAAAAUGUCUGCAAUUUGCAUGUUCUGAAAAUAUGUAUUGCAACCUUGCGAUUAUUUAACGGUUAUAGAGGCACUAGCCAUAAAAAAUAAUGUUUA